rnacentral:misc_RNA from 1 species
GUAAAAUUCUUGCUUUUUCUGUAGUCACCAUUGGAGCUAAAAAUUUAUUGAACUACUGUAGUUUGUUUUUGAUUGUGUGUUUCCUUUUGAGUUCCUAUAUUUAGUAAGUAGGAUGCAGGAACUGAGAGAAGGCCUUUCCUUGCAUUUUGCAAGAAUUGUGUUCAUUUUAAGGGUUGAUAUAAAUGGUUAAGGUAUUGUGUUAGGCAAAUAUUUUGAGUGCAUUCUGGUAAUUUCUGUUGAGCAACUGGCAACACAUUUUUGUUCAUGAGAUAGGUGAAGGAUAUUUUCUUGCCAAUCACCUGAUAUCUGUUGUAAUAAUUUGGUUUUAGGUUAUGGUUCUAAAUUGCGCUUGAAGUGCAGCUGUGACACCUGCAUUAAUGUUCUGUAGAUCACCAUGGUUUCUUAUUUACCUGAUGGCAUGUUGAGGAAUUAUCCCAUUU